UAGGUGAGAGCGGCGGUGGGUCGGCACAAGUGGCCUUCACGUUGUACACACACACACGUCUGUGUGGGGCGCUCCUCCUCCUCCUCCUACUACAACACAUGCUGCCCUAGCGGAGCCCAGAUUUCAAAAUGAAUUGGAGAGAUAGAAUUUCCAUAUUAUCAAGGAAGCGGAAUCAUGGAAGUGCUGGGCCUCCAUUAAACAGACUGAAUGACCUUCCAUCAAGUUCAGGGACCAUUACAAGUAACAAUAUUGCCUCCAACAGUGCCCCAGUGGAGAGUGUAGUGAACACUCUCUCACAGUUGCGUCCUGUUAUUGGUCCAGAUCUCAAAAGUUACUAUAUUUUAUUACGUGGGGAUGAAGAUUCAUUUACUUGCAUCCAGCCUGCUAUGGAUGUUAUAAACAGUUUAGAUGAAGUAGUAAAGAAUGUCAUUAAUACUCUAAUGUCAGGAAAGCAAUCAUUGCAAGUUGCAGAAUUACCUCCAAAUGCCAAAAAACCAAGAUAUAGUCAAGCUAAAACAUACACAAGUUCUUUAGCUCAUAGGCAAAUUAGUAGCAAUAGAAAAAAUGGAAUUCGUAAUUUGGGAUCAACAUUAUUAAAGGAAGAGAAAAGAGUGUCUAGUAUUAAUAUUGAAAACUUGUUCCUCGAUAAAGCUGAAAAUGGUGUAGUUACUUUUGAUUCAAACAAGGAUGUAGAAAAUGUUUUACUUCACAAAAGAGUACAAGAUCUUGAAAGCAAUGAACAGGAUCAAAUGGUGAGAACUACUUCAAUAUUGGAAAGUAGGUUGAAGUCUAAUGUGUUCGUUAAGAAUAAGCAGGAAUCGUGUUUGUUUAUCUCGAGUGACUGUGGAAGUGGAAACAUUUCAAACUUGCUAACAGUGCCCACUACUGAACCUGAUUUAAUUCAAAGCAUUGCUCAAAGUGUUUCAUCUGUAAGAAGGAGAGAUUAUAAGAAUAGUCAGAUUCGUGUAUUAAAUGAAGAUGAGAAUUAUGUGACUCCACAGGCUUACUUGAGUGAACCUUUAGGAACAAUAGAGUCCAUCUCAAAAGACCUAGAUUGCAUAAGUUCCAAUGCGAGAGACCUUGAUUGCAUAGGGUCUAACACGAGAAUCUUAGAUUGCAUAGGGUCGAACACGAGAGACCUAGAUUGCAUAGGGUCCAACACAAGAGACCUAGAUUACAUUGGGUCCAACACGAGAGACUUGGAUUGCAUAGGGUCCAACACGAGAAGCCUAGAUUGUGCCCCCACAACAUUGGGACCGAACGUACCACUAACAGAAUUGUCUCUCAUAGCCAAGGAAGGAACUGUGUUGACGGAGGAUGAGAUCACAUCACAGAUCAAAACCUUAAUAGAGUCAGAGCAGUUAGCUGUUGGAGAGAAGAACCAGAUUGUUGUAAUAAGAGUGUCAGCCCGUGAAGCUUUGGUGAAAAUUGUGCAAACUGAAACUGGAGCUGUGGAUGAACUGGCCCAACAUCAAGAAACAGAAGCUGUCCCAAAAUCCACUAUGAAUAGAUUGGAUUUUGGCAAGACCAAAGAACAUAUAGCUCCUGGUCUAAGGGAGACUGUGGCUCAGACUGCUGACUGUGUGAUACAUCCUCUGGUUGCUUCCCUUACUGAGCCUUUGACUAAUGAGGAGCAACAGGAGGACGAUGAGCUUGCAAAACUACACUCGGUUUACAAGGCCGGCUCUCCCCACCUCGCGAGUCAAGUUGAUGUGUUGGAAACCUUUAGUGAUUCUUUGAUAGGCGGAGCAGGAGGGGAAAUUGUUGUGUUCCAGAGGGAAGAUGGAGAAUUUGUAAAUCAGGAUGGAACACCAGUGUCUAGUGAACUUCAGUAUUUGAUUACCAGUUCUCAACAAGACUUGACCUUAGACCCUGAAGAUGAUCACACUGAUCAAUUGUUUGUGCCUCCUGACCACUUUGAACAUCAUAUAGUAGAUGUUAAUUCAGGAUUAUGAUUAUAUACAAUAACAAUUAAGGGAAGUCAGUGUGGAAAAACACAAGAAUUAAAUAUAAAUGUUGCAAAAUUGCAGGUUUCAAGAAUGUAUGUAUGUGCAUGUGUGCGUGUGCCAUAGUCCCACCGAAACAAAGCUUCUUGGCCAUGCAAGUUUCUAUGUACUUGUGUGGUGUGAUCUCAUUACUCAAGGUUUGUCAUUAAUUUUUCUUUUGUCAGAAGACAUUGUUGAUCAAAAGUAGUAGUACUAAAAAUUACUGUAUUGAGAAAAGUGAACAAGGUUGGGGCGUGAUUACCUACAUUCUGCUUACAUUGAAUUUCCAGGAUAAGACUGAUCUUCAGAAGGAUUACCUGUCGAGGAUUCUGAGGAUCAACGUCCCUGCAGCCUGGUCUCUGACCAGGCCUCGUGGUUGGUGGGCUGGUCAACCAGGCUGUUUAAUGUAGCUGCUUGCAGCCUGAUGCAUGAGUCACAACCUGGUUGAUCAGGUCUCAUUGAAGGUGUUUGUCAAGCAAAGUAAGGAUAAGUAAAAAAAUAUUAUAUUUUUCAGUAUACUGGUAGUAUUUUUGAAAUGUAUUGUUUAAGUUUACUUGUGUUUUCAACCACUGCAAAGCUUUGUUGUACCAUUUGCUGUAAGAAAAUUCCUAAAAUAUCCUUGAUAACAAAAAAAUUCUCUAGUUGAUGUAAUGCAAAUCAUAGUUUGUUGGACCAGAUCUGAUCACACUUAGCUUUUAUAAUUGAGGCUCUGUUGGACUUUAUUUAUAUUUAUAAUUGAGUGGGUAUGGAGAAAUUGCCAAAUCUGCAUUUGAUAGUGUUACUCUGCCAGAGUAUUGGAAACAAAAUCUGUAAUUGUAUCACUAAUAUGAGAGAGUAGUAAUAAGAAUUAUAUAAGGAUUAGUCUACUAUGCAGAUGAUGAGUCACAAUAACGUAGCUGAAGUUUGACUGAAGACUGAGGUCGAUUGACAAUCGAUUUGAUAAGGGUCCAGGAUGGACUAAAACGUUGUCGUCUCUUCAGUUUCUAGCGUGUUGUUUGGUCAACACUAGUCUACUAGGUGCAGUGGCCAAAGUAUCUGGCAGGAUAGUGAUCAAAAGAAUACAGGAAAUAAAUAAGAAAUGGGUCAGUGAUGAAUAAGGUAGGUUCUGUGGUGGAGGAUUGUGUGUAUCACGUACAUUAUUUGUUUUGAGAUACAGUACAGUAGUUGUAAAGAAGGCAUAUGAGAAUGAUUGUAAGGUGUAUAUGGCCACGAUGAACUUUGAAAGACGCAUAAGGCAAAGUUAGAGAAAGACUUGGGAGCAGGAUAAGCAUGCAUGGAGUUGGCAGAGCUUUGUUAAAUGGAAUGUUUAUUUUAUAUGGAAGAAGCAGUGCAUAUGUGAAAGUAUAGUAAAUGAAUGGUUUGAUAAUUAUGUAGGUGUAUGCCAGAGCUGUAUGAUAUGCUCUUGCUUGAUCAAUCUACACAUGGAUGGGGCCAAAAGGGAGGCUGAUAGAAGAGCAUUGAAGGAAGGUGUAAACCUAGUGUAUCCUGUAUAUCUAAUGUAUUGCAAUUGGAUUAUGUUAAAAUUUAUGUAUACAGGUGGUACAUUAUUUUUGCAGCCCAGUUGAAAGUUUUAUUGAUGUAUGGGAGAAGACUUAAGUGAAUGUGGAAAAAAAGUAAAGAUUUGGUUGUAAUAAGAAAAGAAAAUUUAAUGGGAAAAGAAUUUGCAUGAUCAAAUCUUCAAUCUGUAUAAAUACCUGGAAUGUGUGAUUGAUAAAAAAAAAAAGGAAUUUGUGUAAUCAAAUUGACGUUUUUUCCUUGGCCUUCCUCCUUCCAUCAUAACAGAUCAUGGGAAAUGGUUUUGUCUAGGUUACAUAUUGGUCACACCUGCUUAACUCGUGGUCAUUUAAUGAAGCAACGUAAUGCUCCUUCUUGUCUAACCUGUAUUGUCCCACUUAGUCGUGCAUCUCCAUGUAACAUACCCUAAUUUUCGAGAUCAUAUCUUGCUUUCCUAAUAUACCUAGAGGUCACUAGUUCCUUAGUAGAAUCCUUGAUGAAUUUAAUACCUUUGAUAUUGCUCACCUUAUGUCCUUUUUGUUCUAUUGGCAUCUCGAGUGAUAUUUAGCUUCUUUUGAAUAUACAGUGGCACAAACGGUGCUACAUAGUCUUCACGGCUUGGCACUUUUUUAAUACUUGAUAAUUCAAAAGGAACACCAUACACUUAAUUUUAUGAAGUGAUGGGAUGCUGCUGUUAAUAAUAGCUAGAGUGUGAAAGUGCUUGUUUAUCCAUGGUGCUAUUUAGUCUGAAUGUUGUAAUGAAUGGACAAGUAAUAUAUAUUUUGCAAUAUCAAAUUUUUCACUAUAUUCCAUCUUUUUUCAAGUAGUGCCAUCCAACCUUAUGAUAGUGGGAGACAGGAUAAUGGGUGUAAUAAUUGCUAGAUUAGGUUGACAGCUAAAUGAAAUACUGGUUGCUUUAUCUUUUGGUAAUUAAGCUUCAUACUGUAGUAGUCAUCUCUCACUUGUGACAUCCAUGUUGGUAGAUACUGUACUGUAGUCACUCAGUAUUGUUAUACUUGAAUGACCCUUUUAUCUUCACUCUACUAAUAUGCUCUCUUGUUUUGAGUGUCAUAUAUGAAAAUAGUAUGUCUUUUGUGUAUGUACUCAACUACACGUAGACCCCAACUUACACCACGACUCAAGUCAUCGUCCUCACAGUUGCUUCAGAGAAGUCCUAUCUCACUUUCUGUUGAUUCCCCUCAUUAAAUACCUGGUCAAUUGGCAGGAAUAGCAGUCCAAACCACUUCAGUGCUCCCACUUGGUAUGAGGAUGUAUUAUCUGAGGCUUGCCUUUCACCCCCCCCUCCCCCCCAACAUACGCUAAGUGCAGGCUAAGGCGUUUCACACAUUAAAGAUAGUCUCCUGUACUGUACUAUAGAUGAUUAUGCCUAAUACCUCUGUCCCUUGUGUAUCUCCUUUAACAUUAUGAUGUAAUUGAUUCGUUUAUAUCUGUGUUAGUAUUCUGUCUAAUAUGUUUUCUUUAUCACUAGCCUUACAUUUGGUAGUGGUAUAUGAAAGUCACAAAAGGGAUUGAAGUGUUGAUAGUCCAGUUGUAACCUUGGAUGUUUCUGUUUACAAUGAUUUUAAUGAAUAAAGACACUGGAUAUGGAGUAUUAACCUGCAGCUCUCUUCAAAUUAAUACUCAUAUGCACAAAGCUGUGAUAUCAAUAUAAUUAAGCAAUACUAAAUAAUAUAAGUGAUGGUAAUGUCUUCUCACAGACAUAAUAAUAUAAGAUAAAAACCCACGCUUAUUUAUUUAUUUGUUUGUGAAAUUUAUGUAAUGAAUUACACCAAGUCUUUCACACACUCCUGAGUGCUUUGUCAAGGUCUGAGUAUCUGGUUAGGAUGAGACUUGCAUUGCAAUGACUAAAAUCAACGACUUUAUGGCUAUUAUUUCAGAAAUACAUAAGUGUGGGGUUUCAUACUAAGUAACUUUGUAUUAAUAAUUUUUUGCCUCAAAUAUUAAGUUAUAUCAUAAACUUACCUCUUGGGUACCAACUUAGCAUGACAGAAUGGUACUUGUAUGCCAUUUCUGGGCUUUGAGGGGGAUUGCAUUGGCCUGUCUGUUGAAGGAGCCACCCUUAGUAGGUGGAUAUAGGUGUUCAGGCUAGGGAGCUAGAAGAAAAAAAGAUUUUUAUACUGGCAUGAGCAAAUUAUUGACAUCAAUGGUCUUCCUUGGGGAAAAAAAAGUGCCAUUAGAUGAGGUAUGCUGUCUGCACUGAUUCAACUCCCCAUUCUGCCCUGGUACGUAGUAUCCCAUGACCCCCAGAAUUCAACCUUUUUUUUAUCAUAAAUUUGUGUCUUGACCUGCUAUAAUGUCUUGAAAUUAUAGUACUGUAUGUCCUGAAUUUACCUGUGAGCCAUCAUCUCUAAAGGCUUCCACAGGGACAGGAACAGUAUGCAGUAUUAUUUUGUCAUUUAUGGCUUCAGCAUGUAUACAAUUCGAUGGGUGAAAAAAUUUGUCUGCUCUACAUUGUGGCUUGGAGAACUUGAAGUUGUUGUCUCUUGUGUGUGUUACACUGGAAGUUUUAAAUAAAUGAUCAGGAUUAAUACUGUGUCCUUCAAUUUGUUGAAUAUUUUAAAGGUCUCAACACCUUUAUAUAUAUACUGUAAUAGGGUUAGUAAAACUAAAAAGUUUUACUAACUAAAGUCCUUUUGAAAAUUAAAUCUGUGCUUGGAUACAGUAGUUCGGAUGGAGACACCAGAAUUUGUACAGCUGAAUUACCACUUUCUUUUCAUAUAAAGAAAAAGGUUCAUUUGAUUUGUUGUUGUUGUUAUUAUAGAUUCAGCUACUCGGAACAAGUUCCAAGUAGCACAGGCUAUGGUGAGCCCGUAACUUACCUGGCACAGGAGCGGGGCAAGUAGCAUGGGCUAUGGUGAGCCCCUAGUGGACUUACCCGACACAGGAGCGGUGCUGUGUGUUCAUUUGAUUAUUCCUGUGGUUUGAAUGGGCAUUUUGUUAUUGUAGCUCCUACUUGCCGAGCAACUCUUAGAUGACUGGUGGAAGAUUACCGUCAUGUCCUUUUCUUUGUUGUCCUGCUGCCGGGUCAUGGCUUCUGAUAUAUUAGUUAUAAUUUGCAUUUUUGUUCACAACAUACAAGGUCUUGCAUUUUUCAACACUGAAAGGUAUUUGAAAGGUAUUUACUAGUCUUUUGACCAUUUGUGAUGUUUAUGUAGUUGUUUUGCAAGGCCUCAAUAUAAUUUUUGCAGUUUUAAUAAUAUUCUAAGUGAUGGUAACAUCAUGUGCUAGAUUUGAGCAUGUUAUAUAUUACCAUACAGUAUACAGCACAAAUUUAUCUAUGAUACUUCUUUAUACAAAAAUGGUCUAUAAGUAUAAUAUUGGUCAUUUGCCUGUGUUAAGCAUUUAAAACAAGCAUACUUAAUCCUUAAUUAAAACAUUAACAUGAGAAGUAGAAUCAGUAAGUCGAAUUCCAACAGCCGUUGUUGAGUUCGUUUCAGACAUUUGUAUACUGACAAUAUUGUACAGUAUUGCAUUGACUUGCUAAUAUUAGUGUUCUUCUAUUCAAUUUUGUACAAAUAUUUUUCAAAAUAUUGAAUUCAUAUACAGUAUUGUAGUAAUUAGAUUUUGUCUUUUUUUCUAACCUGUAUGCAUGUGUGUAUAUGAAAACCUAUCAACCCAUUUUCCCCUCUUUUUACACACGUGUGUGGAUAUUGUAUUUUAUAUACAUCACUCUCUCUUACAAGCUCAAUUUUUAUGAAUGCUCUUUUUGCAUUUAUUUUCCAAGAUAUAUUUUUAGUAAAUCAGUUAAGGAAACUUUGCAAAAACUUUUGUUAAAAUUUUCUCUAAUUGUCUGAUAUUAGCCUCUUGUUUUUCUGAAUGUAUUCUGGGUAGGUUACAUAUUGAUCACACAUAAUUAACUCGUGGACACGUAAUGGAACAAAGGCCUGCACUUUACUGUCAGAACUGCAUUGUCCCCACUUACAGUUGUGCACUUAUAGAAUGUAAUGAUUUUCAGGAUGAUUAGAAAUCCUAUUUUCCCAAUGUCACUACAAGUCAUUUGUCUUUGUUAAUAAUCUGAUACCUUAAACAUUGUUUUACUCUCAUAUUAGCAUCUAAAAGUAUAUACUUGGUAUAAGAAUUUGUGACUGUUUUGUGCCACAGACAGUGCUAAAUAGGCUGCCAGGCUCAGUGUCUUCUCUUGAUAAUUGUUUAUUUGCUCAUGUGUAUACAUCCACAGCUCACCCAUUAGAGCUCUUGCCAUGUCAUCCUGGAUCAUAGGACAGCCUUUUUGUCAGUAGCCAUUACGGUAUUCUCAGGAAUGGAAACUGCAAAAUAUCAGGCAGUACCACAGAUAUUUGUGCAUAGAUGAAUUUGUUUAUGGAUAACUAUAGUGUUAGUGCACUGGAGAAUGGUGUGUGUAUGUUGUGAGAGAGUACAGUGUGUGUGUGUGUGUUUAUUGGGGAAGGGUAUGGAAUGUGUGUGUGUUUGUGGGGAAGGGGGUGUAAUUGGAUGCUUAUGUUUCAGUAACUGGAAGAGAGGUCUUUCCCCACCUACUUGCUGUGUUGCCUCUGUUGCAUUAAUUAUAGGUGUGUGUGUGUGUUGGAAAGGCAUUAAUUAUAGGGGUGUGUGUGUUGGAAAGGCAUUAAUUAUAGGUGUGUGUGUGUGUUGGAAAGGCAUUAAUUAUAGGGGGGUGUGUGUGUUGGAAAGGGUAUAGGAUAUUUCUGAGCUGGGGAAGGAUAUAGGGUGUGUGCUUGUAAGAGUAAAUUGAAGUAAGGGAUGCAGUAUGCUGCUGGAAUUGUUUUGUUAACUCAUAAUUUUUAUUUAUUUAGGCUUCUGUAUGAGUAUGAACACUUAUUUUGGAGUUUAAUGGGCAUUAUACUGUACUCGAUAUAAUUCAAAUUCAAAAUUCAAAAAAUUCAAAUGUUUAUUCAGGUAAAGUACAUAUAUACAAGGGGUGAUAUAUUGCUGAAUUUAUAGAUAGAGCUACAGGUAGUGCCUAAAGCCACUAUUAUGCAAAGCGUUUCAGGCAGGAAACGCCCAAAUGAAAUAGUACUGUAUGUCUCAUGGUUAAGCUUAUUUUGACUUGUAUAUACAGUAUAAGGAAUCUUUAUUCUUUGUAAUAUUGUGAAAGAAAUUAAUACACUGUACUGUAUGUGUUUUGUGAAAUAUAUAAAAAGAAAAGUAUAUACGCGUACACUAUACAGACAACUACUGUAUAUUCUUUCCAGACACAGACUGCAACUAUCAGAGAAACCUAUUUUCCAAUAUAAAUAAAUGUUCUGAAAUACAGUAUUCAGUUAAAAAAUCAACUAAAAGAACUUGUGCUGUGAUUUCAGAAAUGUUAAUAUGUAAGUUUAUACUACAUAAACAGUACAAGAUAUUCACUUGUAAACAUGUUUUUUUUAUAUACAGUAUUUACUUCCUUCUAGCAUUCCAUUAUAAUGAAUUGUACACAUUUGAAAGAAAGUGUAAUUUUUAUGAAUUUUGACUAAGAAGUUUUGCAUACUGUAUAUUUGAGCCUACUUCGAGAGAGGCAAAUAAACUAGCCACCUGAAAUAUGGGUAAAUGUUAAAAGCUAUAGAUCAUCGCUAACCUUUGAGUGUGCCUUGCAUAGUUUUCAUGGGUAUUCAAACUAUUGUAUCCAUUAAUUUUUAUUGGGAUUUUAUAUUUAUCCUCUGGAUGGAUACAUCUAGCCUUAGAGUCCAAGUCAGUCUUGAUGUUAAGGGAAGAGUCAAUGUCAGCCAGAUAAUUCCCAGCAUUUCUUAUUACAAUUGUAUAUACAAUACAGUAUUUGUGUCAUUUGUAACUUUUCAUAAUGAGACAAAUCAUUCAAAUAUAUUUUAAUUUUUGUCUAAGAGUGUCACUUAUGUUUAUUGAUAUUUUUGUAUAAUAUUGAAAACAAAUAUAGAUGGUU